rnacentral:tRNA from 1 species
CAAAAUAUAGCUUAAUAAAAGCCUUUCGCUUACACCGAAAAAAUGUCUGUUAACCCAAACUAUUUUGA